UACGUAGGGUGCAAGCGUUGUUCGGAAUUACUGGGCGUAAAGGGCUCGUAGGCGGCCAACUAAGUCAUACGUGAAAUCCCUCAGCUUAACUGGGGAACUGCGUGUGAUACUGGAUGGCUUGGAUUUGGGAGAGGGAUGCGGAAUUCCAGGUGUAGCGGUGAAAUGCGUAGAUAUCUGGAGGAACACCGGUGGCGAAGGCGGCAUCCUGGACCAAUAUUGACGCUGAGGAGCGAAAGCCAGGGGAGCAAACGGG
rnacentral:rRNA from 1 species